AAGUCGAGCGCGCCCUUCGGGGUGAGCGGCGGACGGGUGAGUAACGCGUGGGAAUAUGCCCUUCUCUAAGGAAUAGCCUCUGGAAACGGAGAGUAAUACCUUAUACGCCCUUUUGGGGAAAGAUUUAUCGGAGAAGGAUUAGCCCGCGUUAGAUUAGGUAGUUGGUGGGGUAAUGGCCUACCAAGCCUACGAUCUAUAGCUGGUUUGAGAGGAUGAUCAGCCACACUGGGACUGAGACACGGCCCAGACUCCUACGGGAGGCAGCAGUAGGGAAUCUUAGACAAUGGGGGCAACCCUGAUCUAGCCAUGCCGCGUGUGUGAUGAAGGCCCUAGGGUCGUAAAGCACUUUCGCCAGAGAUGAUAAUGACAGUAUCUGGUAAAGAAACCCCGGCUAACUCCGUGCCAGCAGCCGCGGUAAUACGGAGGGGGUUAGCGUUGUUCGGAAUUACUGGGCGUAAAGCGCACGUAGGCGGAUUAGUAAGUUAGAGGUGAAAUCCCAGGGCUCAACCCUGGAACUGCCUUUAAUACUGCUAGUCUUGAGUUCGAGAGAGGUAAGUGGAAUUCCGAGUGGUAGAGGUGAAAUUCGUAAGAUAUUCGGAGGAACACCAGUGGCGAAGGCGGCUUACUGGCCUCGAUACUGACGCUGGGGUGCGAAAG
rnacentral:rRNA from 1 species